GAUGAACGCUAGCUACAGGCUUAACACAUGCAAGUCGAGGGGAAACGCCAUCGCAAGCUUGCUUUUGAUGGGCGUCGACCGGCGCACGGGUGAGUAACGCGUAUCCAACCUGCCCAUCACUUGGGAAUAACCUUGCGAAAGUAAGACUAAUACCCAAUGAUAUCCCACGAAGGCAUCGGAAUGGGAUUAAAGAUUUAUCGGUGAUGGAUGGGGAUGCGUCUGAUUAGCUUGUUGGCGGGGUAACGGCCCACCAAGGCAACGAUCAGUAGGGGUUCUGAGAGGAAGGUCCCCCACAUUGGAACUGAGACACGGUCCAAACUCCUACGGGAGGCAGCAGUGAGGAAUAUUGGUCAAUGGGCGAGAGCCUGAACCAGCCAAGUAGCGUGCAGGAAGACGGCCCUAUGGGUUGUAAACUGCUUUUAUAAGGGAAUAAAGUGGGUCACGUGUGACUUUUUGCAUGUACCUUAUGAAUAAGGACCGGCUAAUUCCGUG
rnacentral:rRNA from 1 species